rfam:Agrilus planipennis Contig69644, whole genome shotgun sequence.
AAAACGGCCUGAGGUAGAGGGGUUUUAGUCGGUAGGUCCGAGGACUUCUUCCUCGGGAAUCCGACACUACCCAGUCGUACGGACGGCUGGGUGUCUUUUGAAGAUUUCCCCUCUUCCACGAAA